GAGUCCCAGUCAGCAAGUUUAGGCAUUGCCUAGACUUAGUUGGUGUUUAUAGUGCUUAGUAAUGUCCUUGCGAGGGCAUAUGACAAGACAGAGUGUUUAUGAUUAUUUUCUUUAUGAUUGAGGGAAUUCAACCCAUGGAGAAGAAUUGUUAUUUUGUGGCUUGAAUUUUAGAUAUAUUUUUCAUGGACCCGAAUUGUGUCCUAAUUCGAAAGUUUCGUACUGUGAUCCAAUUGAGAUAAAAAGUGAUAUCUAUGGUGAUAGCGGAGAGCACGGGUUGAUAGGAGAGUUGUGAGAUAUUUGGGAAAUACUUUCUGAUAUAUCCAAAAUAUUUUACUCGCUAUCAGAACAUGUUACAUGUACCAUGCAGGAAACUUCAUAGUUCAGGACAAAAUUGUGUUCCCACAGUUGGCCAUUUGAGCCACAGUGGGAAAUGCCGGGUGAUUUUGUCAAUCAAGUGGGAUUGAGUUGAGCCUUUCUGCUUGAUUAAUUUACAUUUUCUUUUCAACUGUUUGAAUUAACCAAUGGAGGAUUGCUAUAACUGCAAAAAAUAUUUUUCUUAGCAGCAACUUUAACGUUGAUGCCAAAUAGGCUCUUCCUGCUAUUUAGUUAUUAUCCUAAAAUGAUUUCAAUUUUAAAUAUGAUUGCUUUUUGACUGAUAUGCUAGCUGCUGAUGCAUCUUAUCAGACCAUAGGAGCCUUAACUUCACCUACAAGGAUGGCUGUGCAGAUUUCUAACUUGUAAUUAUGAGUUUUUGACAUGAUAAAGGAUAGACAUAUUACUGGAAUAGGACCACUAAAAUUUCAAAUUUGAGUAUCAAUUAUAAAAAUAAAAAAACUACAAAGACAGAUGACAAAAAGAUAUUAGAUUAUCUCUUAUUGCUAAUAUGUAAACCUGGAAGGGUAGAAUUGCAAAGCCUUUUAUGGGUGUUGAAAAAGAGAUAAUAGUAAUAAAUAAUAAUUGAGGUAAAGGAACUCAUCAGGCGUGCUUGAUCCCUGAAGCUCAAUUGUUUUGAUAGAAUUUUGGUUAUCUUUCAUUUAUGGGUGAGUAUCCAAUUGAAUUAGAGAAAAACUAAAUUAAAUCAAAUUAAAUAAAUUAAAAGUUUUAGCAGAUUGAAUUGAGUUGAAUUAAAUUAAUUUAAUUUGACUU
rnacentral:misc_RNA from 1 species